UGCCUCCUCGCCCGCCCUAAUUCUUCCACUGCAGCCCGUCGCCGCCGUCGUCACUCCAGCUCCGUCGCCGCGUCGUCACUCCAGAUUCGUCGCCACUGUCGCCGCCGUCGCCGUUCCAGCCCUGUCGUCGCCGUCAACGCUCCAGCUCCGUCGCCGCUCCAGCCCUGUCGUCGCCGUCGCCGCACCUUCUCCCACUGCCAUUUCAAUUUCUACAGCUUCUGGUGUUUGGAGACAGAAAAACCGGGUUAAUCAGUGCUGAAUGACUGCAGGAUCCAACCAAGGGGGAGUUCGGAGAGGAGUUGGUGUCAUUAACGGGCUCCUUCCACAAAUCUGUGACUACUUCAUUGAAAGGUAACCGAAUAGAUGAAGCUGGUGCUGCUUUUGAUGAGAUUGAGAGUGCUCUAUCGAACUUCGAUGAUGGGCCAUAUUUUCUUAGCCAGCUCAGUUUGAUGGAUAUUGCCUAUAAUCUCUUCGUUGAAAGAUAUCAACCCUUCUUCUCUUGAGUUAAGAACCACGACAUCACAGUAGGAAGGCCGAAACUUGCACUUUGGAUUGAGAGGAUGGCAAAACAUUUUGCUGGGGAUGGAACAAAGAUGGGCAGCUUGGUUUGGGUGACGCGAUAGAUCGGAAUACUCCUCUCAAGUAGCGAUGGAGGGAUAUGUGGCGAGAAACGUGGAAUGCGGGUGGUGACCACACUUCUCCUAGAUGAGCCAACUAGCUGAUCAUGUCCCUCCCAGCCGAGACGAGUACAAUUGAGCCAACAGUCCCACAAGUCAAGUUACUCCGCUGCCCGACCUGAUGAUUGUACUACAUGAACAUAAACCGUUAUUUUGUUAACUAAUUUUAGAAUUUGCACUUAUGCUCAAUAUUAUUAAACUUUGGUGUAAUGAAUAAUUUUGAGUAAUUAAUGAGUAUUCGUGUCUAUUGUUA